AUUUUAAUUUAAUUAUCCUUGUAACCUUGGGUUAAUUUAUUUAACCAAUGUCUGAUUUCUUAUGUUAUUGGACUCUUUUGAUCAUCUUGUAAACUCCUUUUAUUGAAGUCCAUAGGCUAUGGGCCUAUUUGCAAAGUCCAUCUAGUUAAUAGUACUUAAUGUGUAAAUUGAAUCAUUUGGAACACACACAAGGAAAACACUCUAAACCCUCCCUCUCUUUCAAAAAUCGUCCCUCUCUCUCUCUUUGGGAUCAAGAGCAGUCAAGGGGCUAUUUGGAGCUUAAUUCUUGUUCAUUUCCAGCCUUGAUUCGUAUUGGUGAGGUUUUGAAGUUUGCUCAAGCUUGGUAGCAUUAUUUGAUUGUUAGCCAUCCUUAAUACUCACUCAAGCUUUUCAGGUGUUAAGAUUAAAGAGGCUAAGGCUUGACAUGGAGCAUCGGGACAUCGCUACUAGUUAUUCUGUUGGGACCUUAUUAUUAUUAUUAUUACUUCCGCACUUAUUUUAUAUGAUUAUUAAGUUGAUGGAUUACGUUAUGACUAUUUCAGUUGUUUUAAUUUAAUUUAAGAUGGGUU